UUAGUGUUUGAAUCUCUUCUAUUACAUGAAAGACGUUCAUGUUUGUAUGUAUUUCACUUCUAACUACUAUACUGCUCUAUGUGGCUGUAGUUUUGUCUGGUUGUUCACCCAGUUUCAACUUCUCACAAUUGCGGAAAUCCAAUGGCGGGAAAUAAAAAUGGCACACUGCACUGCAGUUGAAUAUAAACAGAGGAUGCAAGGAAUUGCGAGGCCCUACCAGUCAACACCACUUCAUAAGAUGAGGAAGUACAUUGCCUGCUGCAGUUGUUCGAGAGAUGUCCAGUAUGCAGCCAAACAUGCAACAUAGAGAAGACCAGCAAGGGGACCCUCAGAAUCACGCAGACAUGCCAUCGCUGUGAGCAUUCCUAUAAAUGGAACAUAUCUUUGAGGGGCCGGGAGCAGGUCUACGCUGCCAUGCCCAUCAAUGGGGCGCUGGCAAAGACCUUACCUCCAGCCUCACCUCUUGCCAGCUUACCAACGGUCGUCGAUGGAGAGAUGCAUCUAUUGACCCAGCACUUGGAGACUUGCAAGAUGAUGUGAUGAAGUCCAGACUGAUAGACGGGCUUCAUACUGAUGUCUCUAAAUGGAGAGAGACCUAGUACUCGGCAUGAACAUUUUACUAGACAGUUUUUACUUGUAUUGUCUUUUUUUUAUUGAAUUGAAUUGAAUGGUAUCAGUCAAUAUGGGGAAGGAGAAACCCUGUGUAUUCUGCACCAUGAUCAGGUAACUCCUGGUGUAUAGAGGACACCACAUAGGAAGGUAUGAUCACUCUGACAUGUUUACCAAGGUAGCCCCAUUACCACCAGACAAAAUGCAGAUAGGCACAGUAUCUUUAUUGUCUGGGAAAUACAAUGAAAGGUGAAAGGUGAACAUUGUUAUAUUAGCAGAACACUGCUUCUAUGGUAUUAUGUAAAUGGUUGUGUAUUCUACAUGGA